UUUGAUUUUGCUCCCAUCUCCCUUUCCCUCUUUUCCUGUGUGUUUCCGCCGUUUUAGAACCAUCGCCACCAUGGCUUUUGAUGUGGAUGAUCAUCAAACAACAACAACAAAAAGAUGGUAACAUGAUGAUAUCUCCUCUCAAACAUAAGAUCUAAGUUGGUCAUUCAAGACUUCAUGGAUUAUCUGGAUCUCCAAUUCACAUACCUCAAGUACUUCUUCGGCCUCUUCUUAACCAGAAAUGGAGCAAAUUCCACAGGUUGACAUGAGCGUCAAUUUUUUUUUGGCGAUCAACGUUAUCCCAGGCAAAGCAACCUUUGUGACGCUGGAUCUUGAAGGACAAACUUACUGCACUAGAGAUGAGGUAGAUGUUAAUCCUCACUGGCACCAAACCUUCAUCUUCAACGUCAGUUUGUACCUUACACUUCAGGAUCUCAAACUUCAGGCUUCACCCCUUUUAUAGCGUCGAAAUAAUCCUUCACGAGCUUCUUAUAACAUUCCCUUUUAUCUCCAUUCUGGCACUUCAAGACGUUAUGGUAUAGUCUCCAUGCCGUGGAGUUGUUGGAGAAAAUGAUGACUCUAGACCCAUAUCAGGUUGAUGGGAGUUUAAUCUUAUAUAACCAAAAGAGAAUAAUAGUGUGAGCCUAGUUUCACCAAAUACAAAAGGAAGGACCAAUAAGAGGAAAUCAAUGGAACAUGGGGAAAAGCCUGAGAGGAAAACUUGAAGAGUGGAAUGGAGGAUUUUUCCUGCUGCUUUUGGUGUUCCUUGAAGUUUUUUGUUGGAGAAUGGAGAUGAUUUGAACUUACUAAUAGUGCAGUAGUUGUGUUUUUUAGUACAAUACGCUUGCAUAAGUCUCACAAGUUGACAGACAAUUGAGAAAUUUGAUAAAUCUGUAAUAUGGAGCAUUGUGACAUGAAACUUGUCAUCUGUGUUUUGAAAUUCUCUUUAUACAUCAAAACAUGCCUCAUGAUCUAAAAUUUGCAAC